GCCCUUUUCAUCGGCGAAUGAAACACCUAUAUCUCCCUUGCCGGGGCUUGCUCCGGCUAUGGCGAUAAACGGUCGGUGCAAUAAACCUAUUGGACCCGG
rnacentral:tmRNA from 1 species